CGACCCCAGGUCAGGCGGCAUUACCCGCUCAGUUUAAGCAUAUCAAUAAGCGGAGGAAAAGAAACUUACAAAGAUUCCCCUAAUAAGGGCGAGCAAACCGGGAACAACCCAGCCUUAGAAUCGGGCGUCUCUGUCGUCCGAAUUGUAGUUUGGAGAAGCGUUCUCAGCGGCGGAUCGAGCCCAAGUCCCCUGGAAGGGGGAGCCGAACAGGGUGAGAUCCCUGUCGUGACCGAACCCUAUCCCACCACGAGGCUCUGUCUACGAGUUGGGUAGUUUGGAAAUGCAGCCAAAAAUGGGGGGUGAAUUCCGUCCAAGGCUAAAUACUUGCGAGAGAACGAUAGCGAACAACUACCGCAAGGGAAAGAUGAAAAGGAAUUUGAAAAGACAGUCAAAGAGUACUUGAAAUUAUCAGGAGGGAAGCAGAUGGGGGCCGGCGAUGCACCCCAAUCGG
rnacentral:ncRNA from 1 species